CCCGCCGCCACUCUCCCCCGCGUACUCCGGCCGCGACCCCAUUCCUCCGCCGGAGUGGGCCGGUCCCCUUCCCUCCUCCCGCAGCCCGCCCUCCCCUACAUCCCCUGGCCGCGCCCACGGCCGGCUGCUGUGCGCAAUGGAGCAGCUUGCAGAUCCUGGUGCGGCGGAUUCUUGCAUCCGCAAAGGUAGCUGCUGGUGCCGGCAUACUCGGCCGGCUCCGCCUCCACGCGACACAGGUGGGCGGUGGGUCCGAAAUCGGGACGGAUUGGUUACCAUCGCAAGGAAAUCGUGUCCGUGGUAACCGUGCACGGUUGGUAUUGGAGACGAGCUCUCGGUUUUGGAUUCUGAAAUAAGUAACGAGCACCGCCAUCCGUCGCUCACCACCUCCGGCAUUUCUUCAUCUUCGGACGGCGUUCUACCGGGCCUAAGCAGCCAGCCUCGUCCCACUCGCCGGAGCCGGAGCGAUCCUCGCCGACGCCGAUGGCAGAGGCAGCCCUUGCAAUACCUUAGAUGGUCGACGGCCUUAAACUUGGGCAGAGGAAGGUUUUGUUCUGCGCGUUCAAGAGGAAUUUGGUCCAAGAAGCUACGGUGUCACAGUUUGCUCGCUAUGUCUCAGAACACUCGGCAUACGACCACGACCAUGGUGGGCAGAGUCCAGUUAGCACAAUCAUAGGGAUGGCUCAAGAUUUUGUUUGGCAGCAACAACAUCAAUCUUUUGGUGCCCCGCGGCCAGUUUGGUACUAGAGAUUCGGGAGGCAAAGAUAAGGGUAAAGCACAGCACAUCUACACCAGAUUAGCACCUGUCACCCGUUUAAUUUUUCCAAAGGACGAUGAUGCUCUUCUCAACUAUCUGAAUGAAGAAGGACAGUUGAUUGAACCCACUUGGUAUCUGCCGGUCAUUCCCAUGGUUUUGGUCAAUGGAAGUAAAGGCUUUGGCCCUGGAUGGAGCAGCCAUGUCCCAAACUAUAAUCCAAGAGACAUCAUUGCUAACCUGAAAAGGUUGCUACAUGGAGAGGCCGUCGUACCAAUGGUCCCUUGGUACAAGGGGUUCAUGGUC